rnacentral:lncRNA from 1 species
GCUGUGUAACCUGUUCACCACUGUCCUAUGUCAUCAGCCACUUAAGAACAUAAAUUAAAUCAGCUUUGCAUCUUUAUGUUACUACUGAUUUCACUAAAGUAUUGCAGAAGCAUUACAAUACAGAAGGACACACACCUUCAAAAGAACAAAAUACAUAAUUCAUCCUUGCAAAUUACAGGUCUUUAUUAAUUUACACAAAAUUUAAUUGCUUUCAAAUGUACUUUUGGUUGACCAUAGGCAAAACAUUUCAAUUCAGCAUAGAUUCUUCUGGCAGAAAUAGAAUUGUUCUACUCUCAUUCAGAAGUUUUGGGAGUCUGAUUAGACCUUUAUCAAAUGAAUUCAUCAAAAAGAUAGAUGAAAACCAAGACAUUCAAGGAAAUUAAUAUGUUCAAAUGUACCUUUAAAAGAAAAGACAUUAAUGGUUUUACAAUGAUGCAAGUGCAUUUUAAAUCACUGCAAUGCAAUUUGAUUUUAGAAUCUGUAGCAUUAAAAGUGUUUAAUGUGAGGACACUUGGUUUAUAAAGUUUUAUUAAGCUGUCUGAGGACUGUGGACAAGCAGAGGACUGAGCCUGGACAUCAAAUAUCACCCUACCUGUAUCUUGUGUUAAUGAAGUAAAGAGCAAUGCAGGGGGUUAAGCUGUAGCUGCUAUGCAUUAAAAAUUAUUCCAUAACAGCAAGAAAGCAUUUUGGCAUGAUAGCACAGCUCUAAAUAUAGACUGUACUUCUCAUGCAAUUUUCACACUCCCAAAGAAGUUCGCCUUUGUGCCUCUUAAGUAUUUUAAGGUAUAACACAGCAUUCUUUUAAAAGGUGAUUCAAAGGAGAAAGCAUUUAAACUGUGGAUCUGGGGGCGGGGGAAGAGAAAUGGAUGGUUACUGAAGAACAGCACAGGUUCUAAACAGAAAUAUUAGUGGACUAGAAAUAUAUAAAUGAAUGUUGUAUAUUUUAAAAUCAAAUAGGUCAAUGAAUAAGUUAAAGAAUAUUUAAUUCAAACAAUGGCUGCUUUCAUUUACAACUAACCCAAUGUACAUAUAUGCUCUAUUAUUUUCACAUAUGCUAAGAACCUACCUUUUCUCUCUCACAGAGAUUUACAAACAAGUAUGGACUUUCCUACAAGACUGUCAUGGGCUGAAGGCUUUAUAACAGUUAUUUUCAUUCUUAAAUGCAAAACAAAACAAAAAAACCCAUCAGAACUAAAAUAAGAUCAUUUAAAUGAACUCCUUUCCUGAGCAACUUAGAAUUUGGAAUGUGCUAAAAGUCACAAUAAAUAAGUCAAAAGAUCAACA